rnacentral:lncRNA from 1 species
AGUACAUAUAUUUGUUUAUAUAUACUGUGUAUAUGUAUAUAUAUAUACUGUAUAUAUGUGUGUACAUAUAUGGGUGUGUGUGUCUAUAUAUAUACACGUGUGUGUGUAUAUAUACAUAUGGGUGUGUGUGUAUAUAUAUGUAUGUGUAUAUAUAUAUACACACAUAUGGGUGUGUGUGUAUAUAUAUGUAUGUGUGUAUAUAUAUAUACACACAUUGUGUGUGUGUAUGUGUGUAUAUAUAUGGUUGCUGGCUAUGCUGCCAUUUCCCAGUGACAAUUCUAUGCUGUAUAAAGAGGGAAUAUGAAUUUUUAGGGGAUGGCUUUAAUAAAAUUAGACAAUUAUAUUA